CACUGCUGUCCGCAGUCCGCGUAUUAUACGGGGAUACAGCAUUUCAUAUAGACAUGUCUAUGCGUUGGUAAGGCAGAAAAUUGGCAUUGAAUUUACUCUAGUCAAGACGGAUCAACCUUAUUUUUGUCAUGCAUUGGCUGUUGUUCGAUAACUGUUGCUGUUUAAAAAUAUGUAUGCAUACAACAAUUCCAAUGAAUAAAAAUAAAAAUGCGCACAGCUCUUAGCAGCUGACUAUUUUAUUUAUUUUUUUCC